GAGAGAGAGAGAGAGAGAGAGAGAGAGAGCAAAAUGCAGUGCUUUCUGGCCCUAAAUCGACAGUACACUGUGGCUAAAUAUUUGACCAUGGUUACUGAUCAAAAUCUUGACAAAGUACAGGCUCAGUGAGUACAGCCUCUCCAUUGAGAGGGGUAGACACAGGAAAACCUGGCACCCUGUAGAGGAAAGGCUGUGCAACCACUGCACAACAGCAGAACCUGAGACGGAGCUGCAUUUCCUGACAAAAUGUAAAAAAAAUUAUAAAACAAUUACAGAGUAUUUCAAAGACCUCUGAUGAGAGUAGGCUACCAGUCAUUUUGGGGGAGGAUGCAGAGAGUUGUGGGUUGGCAGCGCACUACAUUGCUAAGUUGAGGGACAGUGUCUGGAAAACCAAUCAACCUACACAUGUCCUCUAAUGUAUGCUUAUUGUUAUUGUUGAAUGUAUGGUUUUUUUGACAAUUGGUUAAUGUUGUUACUAUUGUCCCAUUGACAAUUUUGAUUUGGCAAUAUGUACAUUGUUACGUCAUGCCAAUAAAGCAAAUUGAAUUGAGAGAGAGAGAGAGAGAGAGAGAGAAUAACUAGUCUGGAUAUGAUUUUCACACUGUACCUUCCCCCUGCACUUCUAUUCUCCACCACUCAUCCUCUCUUCACUGUAGCCACAGGUAUUUAAUGAGUAGAUCCCCAGCCUCCUGUCCCUGUCCACUCCUCCUCUCUUCACUGUAGCCACAGGUAUUUCCUGAGUAGAUCCCCAGCCCCCUGCCUCUGUCCCUGUCCACUCCUCCUCUCUUCACUGUAGCCACAGGUAUUUCCUGAGUAGAUCCCCAGCCUCCUGCCUCUGUCCCUGUCCACUCCUCCUCUCUUCACUGUAGCCACAGGUAUUUCCUGAGUAGAUCCCCAGCCCCCUGCCUCUGUCCCUGUCCACUCCUCCUCUCUUCACUGUAGCCACAGGUAUUUCCUGAGUAGAUCCCCAGCCCCAUGCCUCUGUCCCUGUCCACUCCUCCUCUCUUCACUGUAGCCACAGGUAUUUCAUGAGUAGAUCCCCAGCCCCCUGCCUCUGUCCCUGUCCACUCCUCCUCUCUUCACUGUAGCCACAGGUAUUUCCUGAGUAGAUCCCCAGCCCCAUGCCUCUGUCCCUGUCCACUCCUCCUCUCUUCACUGUAGCCACAGGUAUUUCAUGAGUAGAUCCCCAGCCUCCUGCCUCUGUCCCUGUCCACUCCUCCUCUCUUCACUGUAGCCACGGGUAUUUCCUGAGUAGAUCCCCAGCCUCCUGCCUCUGUCCCUGUCCACUCCUCCUCUCUUCACUGUAGCCACAGGUAUUUCCUGAGUAGAUCCCCAGCCUCCUGCCUCUGUCCCUGUCCACUCCUCCUCUCUUCACUGUAGCCACAGGUAUUAUCUGAGUAGAUCCCCAGCACCCUGCCUCUGCCUCUGUCCCUGUCCACUCCUCCUCUCUUCACUGUAGCCACAGGUAUUUCAUGAGUAGAUAGAUCCCCAGCCUCCUGCCUCUGUCCCUGUCCACUCCUCCUCUCUUCACUGUAGCCACAGGUAUUUCCUGAGUAGAUCCCCAGCACCCUGCCUCUGCCUCUGUCCCUGUCCACUCCUCCUCUCUUCACUGUAGCCACAGGUAUUUCCUGAGUAGAUCCCCAGCACCCUGCCUCUCUGUCCCUGUCCACUCCUCCUCUCUUCACUGUAGCCACAGGUAUUUAAUGAGUAGAUCCCCAGCCUCCUGCCUCUGUCCCUGUUCACUCCUCCUCUCUUCACUGUAGCCACAGGUAUUUCAUGAGUAGAUCCCCAGCCUCCUGCCUCUGUCCCUGUCCACUCCUCCUCUCUUCACUGUAGCCACAGGUAUUUCCUGAGUAGAUCCCCAGCACCCUGCCUCUGCCCCUGUCCCUGUCCACUCCUCCU